AUUUAGAGCCUCAAGUUCAGUGAGUGACUACUUUAGUAGUAAGUUGCAUUUCCAGCCUCAUGUCCUUUUUACUCUCUUCCUUUCGCCCUAUCCCUCUGGCUUCAGCGCUAAAACAGUCAGCCAUGGAAACCAUUAGAACCUCCUCUAUUCCAUCAUUUCACGUCCCAGCUUCACUCGACAGAACCCAAUUCACCAAACCCAAAUUCUUGAAUUCCCAGUUUAAUACAUUACCAACUUCAUCUUUCUCAAGAAUUCAUACGAACAUAUCAAAAUUCAAGCUUUUCACCACCACAUCAUCACCAUCCUCUGUUUCAACAGAAUCCAUUCAACCACCUGAGCCAGAGUUUGAAGCUGCUUCCCAUGGAGAGAAGUUUGAUUGGUAUUCUCAGUGGUAUCCAGUUAUGCCAGUUUGUGAUCUGGACAAGAGGGUGCCACAUGCAAAGAAGGUGAUGGGCCUUGAUGUGGUGGUUUGGUGGGAUAGGAAUGAGAGUGCCUGGAAGGUAUUUGAUGAUACUUGUCCUCAUAGAUUGGCCCCAUUAUCUGAAGGAAGAAUUGAUCGGUGGGGGAGGUUGCAGUGUGUUUACCAUGGUUGGUGCUUCAAUGGCUCUGGAGACUGCAAGUUUAUCCCCCAAGCACCACCAGAUGGUCCUCCUGUCCACACAUUCAAGAAAGCAUGUGUAGCAGUUUAUCCCAGUACAGUGCAUCAUGAUAUUGUGUGGUUUUGGCCUAACACUGAUCCUCAAUACAAAGAUAUUAUUAUGAAGAAAAAACCUCCCUCUAUCCCAGAACUGGAUGAUCCAUCAUUCACAAAGUUAAUGGGAAAUAGAGAUAUUCCGUAUGGGUAUGAUGUCUUGGUUGAAAAUCUUAUGGAUCCCGCUCAUGUCCCCUAUGCACAUUAUGGAAUAAUGCGAACAAGAAAACCCCAAGUGAAGGUUGAUAGAGAAGGAGGAAGACCCAUUGAUUUGAGUGUCCAGAAACUAGACCGAGAUGGUUUCACUGGAAAGAUGGAUUGGGGCAGUAGUAAAUUUAUAGCACCAUGUAUAUUUUAUGCUUAUACUGAACCUGUGGCAGAUCAAGGUAAUGGAACUGUGUCUUCACCUCAUACCAAAAAGCAACUGUCAACGCAUCGGAGGAUGGCUUUAAUUUUUAUUUGCAUCCCAGUUAGUCCUGGCAAUAGCAGAUUGAUAUGGGUCUUUCCAAGAAACUUUGGAGUUUGGAUUGAUAAAAUUGUUCCACGAUGGGUGUUUCAUGUGGGACAAAACCUGAUUCUGGAUUCAGAUUUGUAUCUUCUUCAUGUGGAGGUGAUUCCAAUCUUCUUAUGUUAAGAGAAGAUAAUUUUCUUUUGCAUCUUGUGAGUUGAUUGACUCUGGGAGCAUAUAUUAUUAUGAAAAACUCAUAGAUUCAGUUUAUUGAAAAAGUCAAAAUAGGAUGUAUUGUUUACGACCUUUCCUUUUCCAUCUUUUGGUAAAUCCUGGAUGAACAUAUAUUUGAAUGGUCUUGCAACUUUACAAUAUGGCAUUACCCUGUCUAGUGUGCAUUCUCUGUUCAAUUAUUCAUCAGUCCAUUGGAAUUUUUUAACAUAUUUAUAAUGCGAAGAUUUUUUGUCCCUUCUGUUUACUUUAAAGUAUUUAAGUUUUAUUUUGGAAACUGUUAAACUAAGAUAUUUCAGUUUUGGUAUGCCAUAUUCUUUAGUCUGUAACAUAUCAAGUGACUUCUGAAUUCUAAUUGCAGGAGCGUAAGAUCAUGGAUGUUGGCCCUGCCAAUUGGCAAAAGGCUUGUUUUGUGCCAACCAAGUCAGAUGCCCUUGUGGUCGGUUUCAGAAGAUGGUUGAACAAGUAUGCUGGUGGUCAAGUUGAUUGGAGAGGAAAGUAUAGUGGGGCUCUUCCAUCAACUCCUCCUAGAGAACAGCUGAUGGACAGGUACUGGUCCCAUGUCGUAAACUGUCACAGCUGCAAUUCAGCACAUAAGGGUCUUAGUGCUCUUGAGGUCAUUCUGCAAGUAAUUUCCCUAGUUUCAAUUGGUAUUGUUGCUGCAGCCAAAGAAAGUGUCAUCUCAGCGGCUGCUAGAACUACACUGGUUACAAUGGCAGUAGUAUGCUUUGCAGCUUCAAGAUGGUUGUCUCACUUCAUCUACAAAACCUUCCAUUACCAUGACUAUAAUCAUGCUCUUCGCUGAAAUAUUUACUUACAACUAGGCAUUGAAAGUAGUGUAUUAGGCAAAUGUUGGUAUGACACAUCUAUGUAUAUAUAGUACAGAUUUGAAAUCAAUUCCAAUGGGUGAAAUUCUGCAGUUUUAGGCCAAAUGACAGCGCAACAAUGGAGGCUGCUGCAUUGUAGUUUGUACGCAAGCAAAGUUCAAGAAUCAAUUUUGUUCAACCUUACUGAAAAACAUCCUAUGUCAAGGAGACAAUUUGGUCAUAAAGAACAUUGUCAAAAUGAACCCGUGAGACAGAAAAAAAGAAAGAGGAACAUCAAAUGCAGGUUUUGUAGAUCAUAAUGGAAUAUAAUAGAAUAAAUUUCUAAUUUAUUGUUCUAUUGUAUUUUAAUAAGAUAAUAUCAUCUUCCAGGAGGAGAAAUAAGUGCAUGCUUGGAUGCACCAAAUUAAAAAUUUUAAAAAUAAUAAAGAUAAAUCUGCAAUACGCAUAUCAACGCCUAAUUAAAUUAUAAUCGGAAUGGAAGGAACUAAUAUAAAGGUACCAAAAUUCUUCACAACUAUCACAAUUCCAAGCGACAAGUUAUCAAAUAUCCAAAUUCUAAACCACUUAAGAGUUAAUGCUAGCUAGGACUUGAAUCAUACAAAUGCAAAUUCUCAUCCCCCUAUUUAUCAUGAAAAUUAAAACCCAAUGGAAAAUUGUUGAAGAUCUUUGAAAAUUCAGGUUAUAGUUAAAAAUUAAGAAAUUUGAAGGUCAAGAAAAAAAAUGCAAAUGUUUCAGAAAAAAAUAAUCAUAAAUUAAUUGCUCCGUACUGGAGUUCAUUUAUUCUGUUUUUGACCACAAAAAAUGUGCAAAACUUACCUACUCGAAUAAAUGCAGAACUGAAAUGCAUUUUUCAGUCCUU
rnacentral:misc_RNA from 1 species